rnacentral:snRNA from 1 species
GGAUGUGAGGAUGACCUGGCUGUGACAUGCGUCACCCCAUUGAUGGCCAGGGUUGAUUCGGCUGAUCUGGCUGCCUAGGUGCGUGCCCCUUCCUCCCUUACUACUACUCCAUGUGUGUCCCUCCUGAAGCUGCACUCUCUUUCAAAGAGGACAACCUUCCCCAAGUGGAGGAGGGCAAGGAUGUAGGAGGAGACUCCCCUGCUAGAACCUCCAAACAAGCUCUCUAGGUAGUGGGAGGGUAAGUCCAGAAAGGUUUAGCAAGGAGGCUCCUGGGGU